rnacentral:lncRNA from 10 species
AUGUUGGCCAGGCUGGUCUCAACUCUUGACCUCGUGGUCUGCCCUCUUUGGCCUCCCAAAGUGUUGGGAAUUACAGGUGUGAGCCACUAUGCCCGGCCAAGAAGUGACAUUUUUACACCUGGACUCACUGUGUAAGAAUAGAGCAAAUUUUCCAUCUUCAAAAUCUGGGAAAUUUCUUAAAAAAUGAAGAGCAGCACCCAUGUCUCCAAAUUCCAACUGAGGUAGUGACAGGGCCAAAAGUGCCAAACCACCCACCACUAACUACUCUCAACCAAUGGACAGGCUGAGCUUCCUCAAGUGUCAGGGGAACCUGCUUUCAGGACCCCUGUCUUUGCUGAGAACUUUCCUUUUCGCUUAAUAAAUUCUACUCCAGUCACUCUUUGAUGUCCAUGUGCCCAUUUCUUCCUGGCAAUGAAACAAGAACCCAGCCCUGGCUGAGCUAAGGAGAAAAAAAUCUUGCGUCAAUUUCUCCACUGACACUAAGGGUCGCUUACAAUGGGAGUCAACAGAAGUUGCAAACCCAGAUUUAUAUGGAAACUCUCACAGUAUUGAAAUGUCAGUCCAGGGUGUUCCUUAAACAGUGUGUGGAAUAUAUGUGUGUGGAUAACAGUUUGCAUUAUACUGUAUAUCUCUUCUCAAUCAAAUCACAGACUUCCUGUGAGCAGAGGCUAUUUUUGUUCAGGUUUGUUUGACGCAGC